CAAGACAUAAUUUAUAAAAGAAUGUUGGCUUUGGGAGCCAAUAGAGCUCUGUUUAGAGUUGUUUUGA
rnacentral:tRNA from 1 species